AGUGAACGUUGGCGGCGUGGAUUAGGCAUGCAAGUCGUGCGGAAAGGCCCCGCAAGGGGUACUCGAGCGGCGUAAGGGAUAGUAACACGUGGGUUACCUACCCCCCGGCCCGGGAUAGCCACGGGAAACUGUGGGUAAUACCGGAUAACGUCUCCGGACUAAAGGUGUGAUUCCGUCGGAGGAGGGGCCCGCGUCCUAUUAGCUAGUUGAGGAGGUAACGGCCCACCAAGGCAAAGAUGGGUAGCGGGUGUGAGAGCAUGACCCGCAUCACUGGGACUGAGACACUGCCCAGACACCUACGGGUGGCUGCAGUCGAGAAUCUUCGGCAAUGGGCGCAAGCCUGACCGAGCGACGCCGCGUGCGGGAUGAAGGCCCUCGGGUUGUAAACCGCUGUCAGGGGGGAGGAAAUUCCAUGGGGUUCACCCCGUGGUUUGACCUAUCCUCAGAGGAAGUACGGGCUAAGUUCGUGCCAGCAGCCGCCGUAACAC
rnacentral:rRNA from 1 species